GAAUAUAUGAUGGGUGCGGAAUCACGAUCGGUAUUUGUGUGAUGCAAUUUCUGGGGUGGUAAGGACCAGUGCCACACUUGGGUUUGAUUUUCCUCUCAUCGAGUUUCGUGUGCGCAUGUUCGUCUCUCACAUCGAGUUAUACUCUCAUCUUCUAUACAUUAGAAGGAUGCAUCAGCAGUUUGAUCUGCUGAAAGAGUUCAUACACCCAAUUAUUGUUUAAAGGCCUGGUGUUGGGUAGUAUUUCUAACGGAUUUUAGAAAUGCUAUGACAACAAUACCUUUAGAAUUAUAUUGUGUGGAUAUUUACUUCUUGUUAAACAGACUGUGACAUAUCUCAAUGAGAGGGGAUUAUUCUCGUUUUUGGAGUUAUUCUGAUGCCUGUUGCUCUUGCUCCUACGCAUAGAAGCAUAGCAUUGAACUCCAUGGUGUGGUACUUCAAAUCCGUACACCACAUACCUAAUCAAAACCGCCUCGCAACGGCUUCCAUAUUCUCGUCUGUAUUCAAUCGUGGAUAGUGGUUUCAGCUCGACGUGGGUAUGCUAGUGACUCAGAGUUUGGAUGUACUAGGUUUCAUAAGGAUACCCAACUGGAAAUGUUGCGGAAAUAUCACAUUCGUCCUUGCUCCAUUGUUAACUCAGUGUCACUUUAGGUCCUAUGGGAAACAAUGUUGAGCUGAUGCAUUUUUCCGUCAAGCCAUUACCGUUCUUCGGGAUGGCAAGGAUUAGCCCUUCCUAUUACAGGCUUUAUAAUGGAAAACUCUUAAGAUAUAUUUCUAGGUUUUUUUCCAUGACAGAGAAUUAAGCCUGUGGUUCAUGUUGAUAUUCCAGAAUACGCAACAAUUGCUGCGUAUUCGGUAGGUUUCUUUUUAGUGAUUUUUCCAAACCCAUUCUUCUCUUCGUUAGUAUAUUUGACUCGGUUCUAUUUCAAUGUGUCGCAUUGAAAUAGAAAUCCUUUGUGCAUAAAAUCAUUUACCUCAACUUUCCUCACCAAGUAUCUUUGAAUGAUUUUGCUCCCAUCAAGAAAGAAAGAACUUCUACUACAACGAGUCAAUAUGCUAGCAUGGUGGAGGUACAGUUGUCCUAUGGUGGAUCUUGAAAAGACCCUCGGAAGACAGGGCCACAUCGACGAUCAAUAUUUUGCCUAUCAUCAACAAAUUGUGACUGAUUUUUCUCUCAUCGUUUAUGAGAGAACCCUCUUGUCUCUUGUGAUUGACGCUUAUAUGUCACCAUGGCAUGCAGCUGCUCCUUAUAACCACUUUUUGGUACAUCUCCCUACUAAGACUCGGGAACUGUUGCACUUAUCAAUUUAUUCUUGAGAUAAGGGCAACA